UACCAGCUCUCCGAGUGGUGUGGAUGUUUAUUGGGCCUAAAGCAUCCGUAGCUGGCUGGACAAGUCCCCUGUUAAAUCCACCGAUUUAAUCGUUGGAGUGCGGGGGAUACUGUUCGGCUAGGGGACGGGAGAGGCAGACGGUAUUUUCGGGGUAGGGGUGAAAUCCUAUAAUCCCGGGAAGACCACCAGUGGCGAAGGCUGUCUGCUAGAACGCGCCCGACGGUGAGGAAUGAAAGCUGGGGGAGCGAACCGGAUUAGAUACCCGGGUAGUCCCAGCUGUAAACGAUGCAGGCUAGGUGUUUGGACGGCCACGUGCCGUUCUAGUGCCGCGGGGAAGCCGUUAAGCCUGCCGCCUGGGGAGUACGGCCGCAAGGCUGAAACUUAAAGGAAUUGGCGGGGGAGCACCACGAAGGGGUGAAGCUUGCGGUUU
rnacentral:rRNA from 1 species